GGACUUUCCAUACAACUUGCACGCAAAGCACUUCAUUGGCCGUAGUCAGUCUCGUUUCGGUUCUGGUGCGCGACGGAAGUGUUGCCGCGCUCGUCGGUCGAUUCGUUCGAAUAGUCGUAGUUUGCGAAACUCGUAACUUCUUCGACGCACAGUUACGUCGACGUCGAUGUUUAUGGUUCUUUCGCGACGGUCGUAAAUAUCUCUCUCUUUCGUGGUGCGUGCCGUGUAAUCGUUUUGGGAUUUGGCGAGGUUUGCACGGAGUUCAGUGUGAAUCGCUGAGGACUAACAUUCCGCAAUACUGUUAGUACGUGAGGUUGGUGUGUGGCUAAUCAACUCAUUAAACACGUGCUCUGGUUGCGGUUUGGGCUGGACUGUUGAGUUCAACGUUCAAGUGACGUUUGCUGGCAGUAAUUCGGACUACCAAGAGUCAACAGUUAAUGGGUGUGAACCGCAAAAAGUGAGUUACAGUUUCAAACAAAAAAAAAAAAAAAAAACCUCAACGCUGAACAGUCUGAGCAGCUCAGCUGGAAUCUACUAAAAGUUACGACUGAAAAGACCUGGUCGACCACGUUGGAAUAGUUUGUGGUUUGCAAGCAUAAUGUUGUCGGUGUUUGUCAGUCCCUCCUGAAUAAGUUGCUUCAAAAUGAACUCCUGAACUUCUAAACAUCUAAAUGUGUGAUUAACCAACAACUCCGACCUAUCAACGAUCCCAGCACAAAACUAAACUGAAAUCUAGCAACUCCAGUGCAAAACUACUCCUCAACAGUUCCACAACAAAAAAAGAAAAAAAAAACCAAAAAAUACAAAACCAAGUGUGUUGACUGGAAAAAAACUACUACCAUCCUCCGCUUGAGCUGCAAAUGGCUUGCAGCCAGAAGUGCUCACUUUCUCUAGUUUUGUUAGCAAAAACCGGGAGAAAGAAUCGCUAAAAAUAUUCACGUUUGCAUCCGCGCUAACACGUAGAAGGUGUACUAAAUAGUUCCACAGUUGGUCGCUGUUGUAACGAUAACUGCCGCGCCAAAGUACAGUAAAACGAGUGUAUUUUUACGUGGCAACUUGUGAAUCUCACAUGUGAAAAGAGUUUGGCUAAAAAUGAAGCAAAAAGUGAGUUGAAUCGAAAGUCAUCAUCAGACAACAAGAGAGAGAAAAAAAAACCCUGGUGUUCAUUUUGUUCAGUGUGUAAUGUUGAGUGAAAUAGUUUUCUGAAAACCACACCGAGAACAAAUUCCUGAAUAGAAUUCCAGAAUCUGCCGCUGCGAAAAGCUCUUCCGAAGAAAGAAAGUCAUCAUUUUCCCCAAUGGGGAGGAAGGAUUAAAAUGAAUGUGCAGAUGAAAGUUUAAGUGAAAAAGUUUCCUACUUUUGAUCGUACUUCCUGCUGUUGCUGCUGGUGACUGGAUCUGAGUCCUGGGAAAAUAAGGCAAAAGACUUUUCCUCUGAAGUAAAUGUGUAUAUAUGUUAAUCAUUUUUCUAUUGCAAUUCCACCACCAGACGGUCGGUCGCUCUCCGGUGAAUCAGAAACAGCAAAGCUGUGUGCAAAAUAAAAGUCCUGCCCAGAAACACUCCAGCUUCUGCUGGCAGCAGAACUCGGUGCAUUUUUAAUCAUCUGGGUAAA